rnacentral:rRNA from 1 species
GGGGGAUAUUGCACAAUGGGGGAAACCCUGAUGCAGCGACGCCGCGUGGAGGAAGAAGGUUUUCGGAUUGUAAACUCCUGUCGUUAGGGACGAUAAUGGCGGUACCUAACAAGAAAGCACCGGCUAACUACGUGCCAGUAGCCGCGGUAAAACGUAGGGUGCAAGCGUUGUCCGGAAUUACUGGGUGUAAAGGGAGCGCAGGCGGGAAGACAAGUUGGAAGUGAAAACCAUGGGCUCAACCCAUGAAUUGCUUUCAAAACUGUUUUUCUUGAGUAGUGCAGAGGUAGAUGGAAUUCCCGGUGUAGCGGUGGAAUGCGUAGAUAUCGGGAGGAACACCAGUGGCGAAGGCGGUCUACUGGGCACCAACUGACGCUGAGGCUCGAAAGCAUGGGUAGCAAAC